rnacentral:rRNA from 1 species
CGAGAAAGCCCGCAAGGGUGAGUACAGCGGCGCACGGGUGAGUAACACGUGGGUAAUCUGCCCUGGAGUCCGGAAUAACUCGCCGAAAGGCGUGCUAAUGCCGGAUAAGACCACGGGGACCUCGGUCCCUGCGGGAAAAGGUGGCCUCUGCAUGCAAGCUAUCACUUCAGGAUGAGCCCGCGGCCCAUCAGCUCGUUGGCGGGGUAACGGCCCACCAAGGCUACGACGGGUAGCUGGUCUGAGAGGACGAUCAGCCACACUGGAACUGAGACACGGUCCAGACUCCUACGGGAGGCAGCAGUGGGGAAUCUUGCGCAAUGGGCGAAAGCCUGACGCAGCAACGCCGCGUGUGUGAUGAAGGUCUUCGGAUCGUAAAGCACUGUCGCGAGGGACG